CAACAACUAGAGUCACUAAAUAAGCGUAGCUUAUUUAGUGACUCUAACAACAGCCGGACGCCGAACAUCGUGCGCGGACGAUCGUUGAGGAAGAAGGACGAAGUGGUCGUUGUAAAUCUCGUGAAUGCACGUAGCCAGGUAAGCACAUUUCUGUUCGCACAUCCUGUUCUUUGCGAUUUGAGCGUGGUGCACCGUAUGCCUUGUUUUUGUUGAACUUAUGGGACACCAGUAAAUCGUGGCGUUUGCUGUGAGGCUUCUCCCUAGUUUCAGAUCUCCGUGUGUCAUGCGUCCUGGCUCGUAGGGUGAUCAAGGCGCUCUUAUUGUAAUGUAUCGUUGCGGAAGGUGCCCUUGUGUUUUUAACACUCUGAUGGGCUACGUUGACCACUGUAGACAUGUACAUGAAGCGAGCAGAAUACCGUGUUGUCAUGCAUUAUGUGUGUACACGGCGGCGAACUAUGCAACACUCAGAUGUCACAUUUUGGGACGUUACAAGAACACAUCAGGACGGUCGCCUCGAAUCGAUUUGCUCUCCAAAACCACGAAAGUAUGUCACGUCCAUUCGUGCUCGCGUCAGUUCACUACGAAUAUAGAGAUAGUGUCACAUAUGAAGCAGCACAUACGAGAGGGUCAUGAUCAGAUGUCCUUAUGAACGCUGCCAGAAGAAGUUCCGUGCCGUCUCCGCGUUUUGUGUGCACCUUCAUAUGUUCUUCCAUUGAAAAAAUAAAACAGUGAGUAUAAUCUCCUUUCUCUUUGCAGUGUUUCGAUGCCAGAGCUGACUGAUGGGUGCACAUGGCUCCUUCGAAUGUUCUUCCUUUGAAAAAAUAAACGAGUUUUGACGCCAGAGCUGACUGAUGGGUGCACAUGGUUCCUUCGAAUGUUCUUCCUUUGAAAAAAUAAACGGGUUUUGAUGCCAGAGGUGAUUGGCGCAUUUUCAUCACUAUGUACAUAGAAAAUAAAUCCCGAUGUGACAAACAUCACAAUGUGUUACGCAUGGUCAUUACUUAAACUGCUCUCAUU